rnacentral:sRNA from 1 species
UUAAGAACCCUGGAGACUGAAUUCUUCAUACCUACAGAAGAAGUGCAGCACAGGGUGGGGACAGUUUAAGAUGUUGAUGCUGGUCUGACAAUAUGUCUCAGCCCUGAGCUGGGAGCACUGUCACUAGAAACAUGAGGAUGCUUCAGUCUAUAUGCUCGUUCAGUCCUUGGCCUCU